rnacentral:rRNA from 1 species
GACGAACGCUGGCGGCGUGCCUAAUACAUGCAAGUCGAGCGAAGUUUUUCUGGUGCUUGCACUAGAAAAACUUAGCGGCGAACGGGUGAGUAACACGUAAAGAACCUGCCUCAUAGACUGGGACAACUAUUGGAAACGAUAGCUAAUACCGGAUAACAGUAUUUCUCGCAUGAGAGAUAUUUAAAAGUUGGUUAUGCUAACACUAUGAGAUGGCUUUGCGGUGCAUUAGCUAGUUGGUGGGGUAAAGGCCCACCAAGGCGACGAUGCAUAGCCGACCUGAGAGGGUGAUCGGCCACACUGGGACUGAGACACGGCCCAGACUCCUACGGGAGGCAGCAGUAGGGAAUCUUCCGCAAUGGGCGAAAGCCUGACGGAGCAACGCCGCGUGAGUGAAGAAGGAUUUCGGUUCGUAAAGCUCUGUUGUUAGGGAAGAAUGAAUAUGUAGUAACUAUACAUGUAAGAGACGGUACCUAACCAGAAAGCCACGGCUAACUACGUG